GGAGAAGCCGGUGGAGCCCGCGUUCUCGGCCGCGAGGCACGCUGGGAGACGUAGUUCCGCGCGGGGACUCGGCGAGGAAGCGCGGGGCGGAAGGAGGUCGGCGGGAGCCGCAGAGGCACAAAGCCGGGGGCUCCGUUUGCUGUUCCUGGCUUACAGAUUUAGACUCUGAAGUGGCAUUCGGCAUAAAAACGGCAACCUCCUCUCACUGUGCUUCUCCCCAUCCGUUGGGGGGGCGGGAAGAAAGUAAGCUAAUACCUUCUGAGAAGCAAAGAGACCGAGAGGGAGGAAGAAAAGAAAACCCUGUCGUUAAAAAGACAGGGUCGGUGAUCCUUAGGCCUAAAGGAGAGGCAGGAAAGAAUGUCGAGGUCCAGUCAUGGUUCAUUAACCGCUUACAGGCUUUGUAAAACGCGGGGCCGCCCCUCCACCGAUUCGACCUUGGAUGAGUCAGAUCCUGAGCCUCGACUUCCUCCUCUGUAAAAUGGGAACUUUAAAAUCUGCCUUGUAAAGCUGUUGUGAGCAGCAGAUGUGCUCAUCUUGGUGGAGCACUGACUGUAUUUCCUGCUCUACAAGAAAUGCCGUCGGUGGUUACCGUGCUAACCUCUUCAGGCUGCUCAGCAGAGAGUGCUUCCGAAAACCGGCUUGAUCCCUCACCGCCAAAAUGAUACGAAGAUGCCGUCCAGGACUGGAGUACAAGGUUCUCACAGGAGAAUGACGACUCGUUCCUUUUGUCUUCGACUGUGUUUUCAGUUGUCAUCAUUUGUUUAAACAUUAAAUAGCUGCUCUCCUCUCCCCAACCCCAUUUUGUAAAAUUCAA